rnacentral:rRNA from 1 species
GACGAACGCUGGCGGCGUGCUUAACACAUGCAAGUCGAGCGAGCGGCGAACGGGUGAGUAAUGCCUAGGAAUCUGCCUGGAAGUGGGGGAUAACGUCAGGAAACGGGCGCUAAUACCGCAUAAUAUCAGAUGAGCCUAGGUCGGAUUAGCUAGUUGGUGGGGUAAAGGCCUACUAAGGCGACGAUCCGUAACUGGUCUGAGAGGAUGAUCAGUCACACUGGAACUGAGCCACGGUGCAGACUCCUACGGCAGGACGCAGUGGGGGAUUUUGGACAAUUGGUGAAAGCCUUAUCCAGCCAUGCCUCGUGUGUGAAGAAGGUCUUCGGAUUGUAAAGCACGUUAAGUUUGGAGGCGUUACCAACAGAAUAAGCACCAGCUAACUUCGUGCCAGCAGCCGCGGUAAUAC